rnacentral:rRNA from 1 species
CCUACCGGGGGCAGCAGUGAGGAAUAUUGGUCAAUGGGCGGGAGCCUGAACCAGCCAAGCCGCGUGAGGGAAGAAGGUACAGCGUAUCGUAAACCUCUUUUGUCAGGGAACAAAGGCGGGGACUAGUCCCCGGAUGAGGGUACCUGAAGAAAAAGCAUCGGCUAACUCCGUGCCAGCAGCCGCGGUAAUACGGAGGAUGCGAGCGUUAUCCGGAUUUAUUGGGUUUAAAGGGUGCGCAGGCGGCCUGUUAAGUCAGCGGUAAAAGCCCGGGGCUCAACCCCGUCGAGCCGUUGAAACUGGCGGGC